rnacentral:lncRNA from 1 species
AGUCUACAAAACCCCACAGCUCCUAAGAAUUCUCUCACCUGCCUUCUGCCCUUAAGCUCCGGUAGAUUGCAAAUAACCUGCUUUCUUUCUGUUCCCGAGCUGCGUUCGGACCCGUCGGAUCGUAAAUCCCAUGUAAGGUACCUGCCGUCGGAAGAUUUGAUCUUUCUACUUGGACACCUAAUACCCACAGUCCUCCAGCUGCGUUCGGACCCCUGUCGUAUUGUAAAUCCCACGCAAGGUACCUGCCGUCGGAAGAUUUGAGCUUUCUUCUUGAACACCUCAUACCCACAGUCCUCCAGACAGAAGGACAACAGGUACAAAGUCCUAAGGAUUAUAAAGGUAUGCUGCUUGCCAUCAUCUUAGUGACCAAGGCAGCGAAGCUGUUUCUGUACCUUGGAACAGUCUUCCCUGACAAGCCAGAGAACAGCGAUAAAGCCACCAGCCUUGGGAUCAGGACUGAAAAGGCAAGAGUGAUGGAGAUUUCUCCUGCGCUAAGCCAAGAGAAGGUUUCAGCACCUCAGACAGCUCCCACCGAAGUAGCGGCGCUCCCAGCUGCUUGCAGAUGUGGAAAAGGAAAGCCUCGGUUUGUCUUGAGGUUGUCAGCAGUUGCAAGACACGUAAUAAAAUGCAAUGUGUUCCUAA